UAACACAUGCAAGUCGAACGGGAAUCUUCGGAUUCUAGUGGCGGACGGGUGAGUAACGCGUAAGAAUCUAACUUCAGGACGGGGACAACAGUUGGAAACGACUGCUAAUACCCGAUGUGCCGAAAGGUGAAACCUAAUUGGCCUGAAGAAGAGCUUGCGUCUGAUUAGCUAGUUGGUGGGGUAAAGGCCUACCAAGGCGACGAUCAGUAGCUGGUCUGAGAGGAUGAGCAGCCACACUGGGACUGAGACACGGCCCAGACUCCUACGGGAGGCAGCAGUGGGGAAUUUUCCGCAAUGGGCGAAAGCCUGACGGAGCAACGCCGCGUGAGGGAGGAAGGUCUUUGGAUUGUAAACCUCUUUUCUCAAGGAAGAAGUUCUGACGGUACUUGAGGAAUCAGCCUCGGCUAACUCCGUGCCAGCAGCCGCGGUAAUACGGGGGAGGCAAGCGUUAUCCGGAAUUAUUGGGCGUAAAGCGUCCGCAGGUGGUCAGCCAAGUCUGCCGUCAAAUCAGGUUGCUUAACGACCUAAAGGCGGUGGAAACUGGCAGACUAGAGAGCAGUAGGGGUAGCAGGAAUUCCCAGUGUAGCGGUGAAAUGCGUAGAGAUUGGGAAGAACAUCGGUGGCGAAAGCGUGCUACUGGGCUGUAUCUGACACUCAGGGACGAAAGCUAGGGGAGCGAAAGGGAUUAGAUACCCCUGUAGUCCUAGCCGUAAACGAUGGAUACUAGGCGUGGCUUGUAUCGACCCGAGCC
rnacentral:rRNA from 1 species